CAAUAUUGCAGGUGUGGUCUCACCAAGGCCCUGUAUAACUGCAACAACACAUCGCUGCUCCUGUACUCGAAACCUCUCAUAAUGAAGGCCAACAUACUGUCUUCUUCUCUACUGCCUGCUGCACCUGCAGGCUUACCUUCAGCGACUGGUGCCCAAGGACACUGCAUACUCCCCUCUACUAGUUUACAGCCAUUCAGCUCGUCAUCUGCCGCCUUGUUUUUGCUUCCAAAGUGAAUAACCUCACACUUAUCCAAAUUAUACUGCAUCUGCCAUUGAUUUGCCCACUCACCCAACCUGUCCAGAUGUCUGCAUCCUCGUCACUGUUUGCCUUUCCACCCAACUUGGUAUCAUCUCCAAAUCUGCAGAUGUAACAUUUUGUUCCCUCAUCCAAAUCAUUAAUAUAUAUUGUGAAUAGCUGGGGUCCAAGCACCCACUACUUACUGCCUGCCAUUUGGAAAAAGACCCACUAAAUCUUACUGUUUGUUUCCUCUUUGCCAAUAAGUUUUCUAUUCAUCUCAAUACAUUUGCACUUUAAUCUUGCACAUUAAUCUCUUACGUGGGACUUUGUCAACACUUCCCCCCAAGUCCAAAUACACCACAUUGACUGGCUCCCCCUUGUCAACUCUACUGGUUACAUCUUCGUAGAAUUCCAACAGAUUUGUCAAGUGUGAUUUCCCCUUCAUAAAUCCAUGCUGACGCUGUCUGAUCCUGCCCAUUGCUUUCUACAUGCUCCACUAUAAACUCCUUAAUAAUGGAUUUGAGAAUUUGUUCCACUACCGAUGUUGGGCUUACUCGUCUAUAAUUCUCUGUUUUCUCUCCACCUCCCUUUUUGAAUAGUGGAGUGACAUUAGCCACCCUCCAAUCUGCAGGAACUGUUUCAGAAUCUACUGAAUCCUAGAAGAUGACCACUAAUGCAUCCAAUGAAUAAAGAAGCAUUUUAUCUAAAUGAUGAAGAAUUGCAGAGCCAUGAGAAAUAGAGGGAUUUGAGUAUCCUCAACCAUGAAUCACAAAAACAUUAAUCAUGCAGUCUAACAGCAGCAUCUCCACAUCCUUGUGUUAGAAGACAGAGGGAAGUGAAUAUCGAACUCUGUAGCAGGGGCGUAAUUAUUCAGGAUGAGGGCAUCAUUGGCUACGGCAGCAUUUAUUGCCCAUCCCUAAUUGCCCAGAGGACAGUUGGGAGUCAGCCACGUUGCUGUGGGACUGGAGUCACAUGUAGGCC